CACAUGCAAGUCGAACGGUAACAGGAAGCAGCUUGCUGCUUCGCUGACGAGUGGCGGACGGGUGAGUAAUGUCUGGGAAACUGCCUGAUGGAGGGGGAUAACUACUGGAAACGGUGGCUAAUACCGCAUAACGUCGCAAGACCAAAGAGGGGGACCUUCGGGCCUCUUGCCAUCAGAUGUGCCCAGAUGGGAUUAGCUWGUUGGUGAGGUAACGGCUCACCAAGGCGACGAUCCCUAGCUGGUCUGAGAGGAUGACCAGCCACACUGGAACUGAGACACGGUCCAGACUCCUACGGGAGGCAGCAGUGGGGAAUAUUGCACAAUGGGCGCAAGCCUGAUGCAGCCAUGCCGCGUGUAUGAAGAAGGCCUUMGGGUUGUAAAGUACUUUCAGCGGGGAGGAAGGUGUUGYGGUUAAUAACCRCAGCAAUUGACGUUACCCGCAGAAGAAGCACCGGCUAACUCCGUG
rnacentral:rRNA from 1 species